AGCGGCGUAGCUCAGUCGGUUAGAGCACACGGCUCAUAAUCGUGGUGUCGUGGGUUCGAUUCCCACCGCCGCUACCA
rnacentral:tRNA from 1 species